UAGAGCCAAAAAGAGAGAGAUUAUAAAUAAAAUGACUGGUUCCAGACCACAUCUGAUAGAUGGUGGCAAAGAUCAAGUUGUAAGAGAAAAAAGGAAAUGUCAGAGAGACAGAUAAAUGGGACAUAAAAGAAACAGGUAUUUCGUAAUCACAUCGUCUGGGAGGAGUCUGCUCAGAAUUUACAGCAUCUGGCUUUGGAGGAGAAAGAGAAAUACUUGGUGUUCCCUGGACUGGAUUUGAAUUCCGGUUUGCUGGAGAAAAAGGCACCUCUCCCCCUUUGAAACUUCUGGGACAAACUCCGAGAGAGGUCGUUGAGUUGAAUCAUCACAAAAGGGGAUAUUUGGACACAGAACACCAAGUGAAAAUGAAGGCAGAGAUCAGGGUGGUGCAUCUCCAUACAAGCCAAAGAUUGCCCGCAAACCACCAGGAGCUAGGAGAGAGUCAAGGAACGGAUUCUCUUUCACGACACUCAGAAGAGACCAACCCUGCUUUAAUCUUCAAGUUCCAGCCUCCGCAACUGUGAGAACACAACGUUCUGUUUGAGGCAUCCAGUCUGUGGUACUUUGUGACAAAAGCCCCAGGAAAUAAUACAGACUAGAGACUUCAACCAACCGUCUGCCAAGAUCACAGGGGGCUGAGAAACCAAAGAAGUUAUAGCUACUGUUUGAAGACAGCUCUUUUCCAUGUGAUGAUUCAGAAACUCAGGCGCCUUCCAGCUUGUGGCUGUACUAUCCCCAAGGGUCCAGGACCUCAUCAUUAUUCUUCCCUUCCAGACACAACUGUCCAUUUUCACCCUUCAUCCCGCACAGAGAGCCUACACCCACGUCCUCCUUAAGGAAAAUAACCCAGAGCUCCGUUCAGUCUCUACAACCACUUGAAAUUCUGGGACUCUGGAGAACACAACGUCUCCUCAAUCAGAUCUACAUGUGGCUCCUGAUGGUCCAACAAUUAUUAACUAAAAGACCCAGUUAUUUGCUCCUCCAAUCCACAUCUGCUAUGCCAUGGAGGAACAGGGACUUGAGAACUGCAAUAAAACUCUC